AAUCAACGCUGGCGGCGCGCUUAACACAUGCAAGUCGCACGAGAAAGCAGGAGCAAUCUUGUGAGUAAAGUGGCGUACGGGUGAGUAACACGUGGAUCAUCUACCUCUUGGUGGGGAAUAACCCUGGGAAACCGGGGCUAAUACCGCAUAAGCCUGCGAAGGGAAAGCAGCAAUGCGCCGAGAGAGGAGUCCGCGGCCGAUUAGCUAGUUGGCGGGGUAACGGCCCACCAAGGCGAAGAUCGGUAGCCGGCCUGAGAGGGCACACGGCCACACUGGCACUGAAACACGGGCCAGACUCCUACGGGAGGCAGCAGUGGGGAAUCUUGCACAAUGGAGGAAACUCUGAUGCAGCGACGCCGCGUGAGCGAUGAAGCCCCUCGGGGUGUAAAGCUCUUUCGACGGGAAAGAUAAUGACGGUACCCGAAGAAGAAGCUGCGGCUAACUACGUGCCAGCAGCCGCGGUAAUACGUAGGCAGCAAGCGUUGUUCGGAAUUACUGGGCGUAAAGAGUGUGUAGGCGGUGCUCUAAGUCUGUUGUGAAAUCUCCCGGCUUAACUGGGAGGGUGCGGCGGAGACUGGAGUGCUAGAGUGUGGGAGAGGUAAGCGGAAUUCCUGGUGUAGCGGUGAAAUGCGUAGAUAUCAGGAGGAACACCUGUGGUGUAGACAGCUUACUGGACCACGACUGACGCUGAGACACGAAAGCGUGGGUAGCAAACAGGAUUAGAUACCCUGGUAGUCCACGCCCUAAACGAUGCAUACUUGGUGUGAGCCAUUCAUUUGGUUCGUGCCGGAGCUAACGCGUUAAGUAUGCCGCCUGGGGAGUACGGUCGCAAGGCUG
rnacentral:rRNA from 1 species